UAGGGAAUCUUCCACAAUGGACGCAAGUCUGAUGGAGCAACGCCGCGUGAGUGAAGAAGGUUUUCGGAUCGUAAAGCUCUGUUGUUGGUGAAGAAGGAUAGAGGUAGUAACUGGCCUUUAUUUGACGGUAAUCAACCAGAAAGUCACGGCUAACUACGUGCCAGCAGCCGACGUAAUACGUAGGUGGCAAGCGUUGUCCGGAUUUAUUGGGCGUAAAGCGAGCGCAGGCGGAAGAAUAAGUCUGAUGUGAAAGCCCUCGGCUUAACCGAGGAACUGCAUCGGAAACUGUUUUUCUUGAGUGCAGAAGAGGAGAGUGGAAUUCCAUGUGUAGCGGUGGAAUGCGUAGAUAUAUGGAAGAACACCAGUGGCGAAGGCGACUCUCUGGUCUGCAACUGACGCUGAGGCUCGAAAGCAUGGGUAGCGAACAGG
rnacentral:rRNA from 1 species